rnacentral:rRNA from 1 species
UGAGGAAUAUUGGUCAAUGGCCGAGAGGCUGAACCAGCCAAGUCGCGUGAAGGAAGAAGGAUCUAUGGUUUGUAAACUUCUUUUAUAGGGGAAUAAAGUGGAGGACGUGUCCUUUUUUGUAUGUACCCUAUGAAUAAGCAUCGGCUAACUCCGUGCCAGCAGCCGCGGUAAUACGGAGGAUCCGAGCGUUAUCCGGAUUUAUUGGGUUUAAAGGGAGCGUAGAUGGAUGUUUAAGUCAGUUGUGAAAGUUUGCGGCUCAACCGUAAAAUUGCAGUUGAUACUGGAUAUCUUGAGUGCAGUUGAGGCAGGCGGAAUUCGUGGUGUAGCGGUGAAAUGCUUAGAUAUCACGAAGAACUCCGAUUGCGAAGGCAGCCUGCUAAGCUGCAACUGACAUUGAGGCUCGAAAGUGUGGGUAUCAAACAGGAUUAGAUACCCUGGUAGUCCACACGGUAAACGAUGAAUACUCGCUGUUGGCGAUAUACGGUCAGCGGCCAAGCGAAAGCAUUAAGUAUUCCACCUGGGGAGUACGCCGGCAACGGUGAAACUCAAAGGAAUUGACGGGGGCCCGCACAAGCGGAGGAACAUGUGGUUUAAUUCGAUGAUACGCGAGGAACCUUACCCGGGCUUAAAUUGCAGAUGAAUUACGGUGAAAGCCGUAAGCCGCAAGGCAUCUGUGAAGGUGCUGCAUGGUUGUCGUCAGCUCGUGCCGUGAGGUGUCGGCUUAAGUGCCAUAACGAGCGCAACCCUUGUUGUCAGUUACUAACAGGUUCCGCUGAGGACUCUGACAAGACUGCCAUCGUAAGAUGUGAGGAAGGUGGGGAUGACGUCAAAUCAGCACGGCCCUUACGUCCGGGGCUACACACGUGUUACAAUGGGGGGUACAGAGGGCCGCUACCACGCGAGUGGAUGCCAAUCCCAAAAACCUCUCUCAGUUCGGACUGGAGUCUGCAACCCGACUCCACGAAGCUGGAUUCGCUAGUAAUCGCGCAUCAGCCACGGCGCGGUGAAUACGUUCCC